CUUGGUAAUUGCUGAUUGAUUCGGAAUAGAAAUUAUCUCUACAAGGUUAAAUUGAUUACCCUUCCCGUGGAAUAAUAACAUAGUUGCCCAUCACCAUCUUGUUCACAAGCAAAUAAAAACACAAUGUUCUCUGUUGAAACAUCAGAUCAUCAAUCAUGAGUUGGUUUUUCCACUAAAAUGGGAGAACCACUCGAAACUCGUUGACCAACCUUUGGAUAAAAAAACUCUAGAAAUUCCGGGAAGCCUGAGAAAUAAUAUCAGUCGAUAGUAAAACUGUUUCGAAGUUAAAAUUACGCCAAUCCAAAAUUUAACUCAAUAUUAACGACUAAUAAAAUAAAGAAAAAUAAAAAAAAAGUAUAGAAGGAUAUUAAAAAUAAUAAUAAUAAUCGAGAAACUGAUUUAAGUCGAUGAUAAACGGCCAAUGGUGCUAAGAGAUAUUGGUAGGAGAGCUAAUAAACUUCAAUAUUAACAAGUUAAAUUGUUGUCCAUCGAGAUGUAACCUGCCCGAUGUAUAUCCUUUAAUGGGACUUGCAUUUGUCAUCAACAAUGAUACCAUCUUGCUAUUAAUCCAAACAAGAUAUAAUAAUUUCUUCGGGGAAAAUAAAUCUUUGAAAAAAGUUUGUAUAUCCUCUGUAUAGAAAUAAUAAUUAUCUUUCUAUGCAAUAGUUUGGAUGGUGCGAAAUGUCAUGGAAAUGCCUACUAAUAGUGGAUAACAGUCGAACUCCUUUCAACAAUGUUCUUUAAAAUGAGGAUGAAAUGGUGUGAAACAAAAUUCAGAUGAUUAAAAAUCUCAAGAGGAAACUAAAUACCUUUUUAGUACUCCAGACUCUUUGAUUAUAUUACUGCUUAUAAUUUCAAUAGCAGGCUAUUAUAAGGAGUUCCAGUAGUAAUUAUCACAGUUUCAAUUGCACCGCCAUAUACAAUUACAGCAUCCUAAAAGCUGCACAGACCAAAACAAAGGUUCGUCACAUUUUGUUAAUCAACAAAGAGGUGAUGAAGUAUUAUAAUUGAAAGUUUGAACGUAUAAAAUGUACCUAUAAUAAUUGAUGCAAUGUAGAAACAAGACCCAAUCAAAAUCAUAAACAAUUAAAAAAUAAAGUUAAAAUAUUCUACUUAUCCAUAAAUCCAGUAAAGAAAACAAGGGAAACUGGAUUCAAAUGCAAUGUCAAUUAAUGGAAAUAUCUUUUCAACAUCUCAAAAUUUUUACCUACAAUUACCAAUACAUAGAUACAGAAAAGCUUUAUUUGUAUUCACCUUCUGCACACUCCCAAUAGGGGUACUACCAAAAGGAAAAAAAAUAAUAAAAUGGAUCAUUCAGUAAAUAUAUCAUUCUAUAUGGUUUCCUAAAAAACAUAAACUACAAAGAAACGAGUUAGAACUAGAUAAAAACUAUUAUAAACAUAAACAACAGUAAUACUACAUAAAUAAAGACACGAGGAAAGAAUUUUGCAAAUUAAACGGAACUUCCCUCAUGAUUGAGGGCAGAGAAUAGGUGGUGAGCGUCAUCAAUCUGCUCCGUUAAUGUUCAAUCUUCCAAACCUCGAUCGACGAUUCUGGAUAUUUCUUGCAAAAAAAUUGAAAUUAGGUAUUUUUCGCAAACAAAACUAGUAAAAUUAGGGAAUAUAAUGAGAAAAAAUGAGAGUAAGAGAUAACGCCAUAGCUGAAACAAGGAGAGAAUUGA
rnacentral:lncRNA from 1 species